rnacentral:rRNA from 1 species
CCCUUAGAUGUUCUGGGCCGCACGCGUGCUACACUGAGUGGAUCAGCGGGUCAGGUUGCGCGAAAGUGUUUCCUAAUCUUGAAAUCCGCUCGUGAUGGGGAUUGACGGUUGCAAUUUUCCGUCAUGAACGAGGAAUACCUUGUAAGCGCGGGUCAUCAUCCCGCGCUGAAUACGUCCCCGCCCUUUGUACACACCGCCCGUCACUCCUACCGAUUGAGUGGUCCGGUGAGGCUUUGGGAUCUGAGCGGAAAGAGCGUUUCGCUGUUUCUGCUCGGAAAACUCAGUCGAACCUUAUCAUUUAGAGGAAGGAGAAGUCGUAACA